GCCAGGUGUGGUGGCGUGCACCUGUAAUCCCAGCUACUUGGGAGGCUGAGGCAGGAGAAUUGCUUGAAACCAGGAGGUAGGGGUUGCAGUGAGCUGAGAUUGUGCCACUGCACUCUAGCCUGGGUGACAGAGUGAGACUCUGUCUCCA
ensembl:misc_RNA Metazoa_SRP Metazoan signal recognition particle RNA